rnacentral:lncRNA from 1 species
GGAGUUCAUUCUCUCUCUGGAUGCUCGACUUGAUGACAGCCAAUUAAAGGCUUCGUCCCAUCGAAAACGAGCAUCCGAAUCGGUGAGCAAGUUGUUUGUGAUUUGUUAGUGAUUUGUUAGUUGAACUAACAAAUCACAAUUCGGUUCCUACUCAAUAGUCGACCAGCGAGGAAUAAUAGGUGAAUUCGUCGACAAAACCUAGACGACGCCCAGGUCAACCACGGCAUCGCGCAAGACUGUGAAGAAGACCUCCGGGGACCCAAGUUUGAUGCUGUUUAAGCACGGACUACGUAUUAAAAUUUGAACUAAACCUUAUUGAAAAGGCUAUUUGUAGAUUUAAUAUAAUGUAAUUUUUUUAAUGUAUUUUGUAGGUUAUGUACUUUUUUUAUUUUUCCUUUUUUAAUGAAAAAAAUCGCAAACAUCCCUUCGGGUAACUUGCUAACGCAGGUAGCUGACAAUCCUUUUACAAAUAUUGAUUUUAACUUUUACAAACAAUACUAGAUGGCAUGUUUAGAAACGGUCACGCCAUCUGUUGCCAUCUACUCUACCGGUACCAACCCCCAGAAAAACUUCCGCACCACACGCGGACCAACAUCAAAAUAGGAUUCUCUUUGUUGGCUUCCAACUUUUUACCGUUUCACCGGAGAAAAAAUUCAACCCGUUACAUUAGAGAAACUACCAGAAUUUACAAGUAAACACAAGAACGACUAUACAAUGAAACAAAAGAGAGAACCGAUAUCAACAAGAAUGACGGGAGAAUCAGCCUGGCUAAAGACUGUACGAUAACUGAAGUACUAGCUUCUUCCAUUUGGAUUCGUAUUCGUCGAUCGACGGGAACCGUCCCAUUUUCCACGUUUUCCAUGUUACAUCCACAAAGACGGUCACAAGUAUUCGAGCGGGGGCGUCGUGUGGAAGUCGCCCUAUAUCUGAUCCAGUGCGUCCAAAUACCGGAGCAGCCGAGGGACACGAGGUACCUCUUAUCCAGUUCGUGGCUGUUACACGUUCUGGGCAUCCGAGAUGGUCAGCCGAUAUUUUACUUUACCACUGCACUGAUUGUUGGAAAUUUAUUGCAUCCCAACAGUGAUCGGCACUAUUGCUACUGUUAAUUCUAUGUAAUUUGUAGGGACCUCAACAGAGGGCCCCAAUUUUACCCUCUCUUUCCACUCAAUCUAUUGUUCCUAUCCUACU